CAGAGUUUUCUAAACUCCCAACCCAUGUGAACUUACCACUGUUGCCUCGGCGGCGCCCUUCUCCUUAGGGGGUGUGGGACCGCCGGUGGAAUAACCAAACUCUUUUGAAUUCUUAGCACUUCUGAGUUAAAAACAUAAUAAGUUA
rnacentral:misc_RNA from 1 species